GAUGAACGCUAGCGGCAGGCCUAACACAUGCAAGUCGAGGGGUAGAAGGAGCUUGCUCCUUUGAGACCGGCGCACGGGUGCGUAACGCGUAUGCAAUCUACCUUGUACAGGGGAAUAGCCCAGAGAAAUUUGGAUUAAUGCCCCAUAGUAUAUAACCUUCGCAUGUUGGUUAUAUUAAAGUUCCAACGGUACAAGAUGGGCAUGCGUCCCAUUAGUUAGUUGGUAAGGUAACGGCUUACCAAGACGAUGAUGGGUAGGGGUCCUGAGAGGGAGAUCCCCCACACUGGUACUGAGACACGGACCAGACUCCUACGGGAGGCAGCAGUGAGGAAUAUUGGUCAAUGGUCGCAAGACUGAACCAGCCAUGCCGCGUGCAGGAAGACGGUCCUAUGGAUUGUAAACUGCUUUUAUACAGGAAGAAACCCUCCCACGUGUGGGAGCUUGACGGUACUGUAGGAAUAAGGAUCGGCUAACUCCGUG
rnacentral:rRNA from 1 species